CUGGCUCUUACCUCUGAGGACUGGAACCCCUGCUGGGUCUCCGCCUGUCUCCACCAUGGGCUCCGGCCUCCUGUGCUGCGUGGUCCUCUGCCUCCUGGGAGCAGCCCCCCUGGACACAGCAGUUUCCCAGACUCCCAAAUACCUCAUCGCACAGAUGGGAACUGAGAAGUUCCUACAAUGUGAACAAAAGCUGAGCCAUGAUGCUAUGUACUGGUAUAAGCAGGAUUCCAAGAAAUUGCUGAAGAUCAUGUUUGCCUACAAUAAUAAGGAACUCAUUCACAAUGAAACAGUUCCAAGUCGUUUCUCACCUAAAUCUCCUGACAAAGCUCGUUUAAACCUUCGUGUCAGCGCCCUGGAGACAGGUGACUCUGCCGUGUAUCUCUGUGCCAGCAGCCAACCUGACAGGGGUGAUUAUACCUUCGGCCCAGGGACCAAGCUGACAGUCGUCGAGGACCUGAAAAAGGUGAGCCCUCCCAAGGUCACAGUGUUUGAACCAUCAGAAGCAGAGAUCUCCCGGACCCUGAAGGCCACACUCGUGUGCCUGGCCACAGGCUUCUACCCCGACCACGUGGAGCUGAGCUGGUGGGUGAACGGGAAGGAGGUGCGCGACGGGGUCAGCACGGACCCUGAGCCCUACAAGGAACAGUCCGGAGCGAAUGUCUCCAGCUACUGUCUGAGCAGCCGGCUGAGGGUCUCCGCCACCUUCUGGCACAACCCUCGGAACCACUUCCGCUGCCAGGUCCAGUUCUACGGGCUCGGGAAGGAUGACCAGUGGGACUACCCCGAGGCCAAACCCGUCACCCAGAACGUCAGUGCCGACACCUGGGGCAGAGCAGACUGUGGCUUCACUUCAGCGUCCUACCAGCAGGGGGUCCUGUCGGCCACCAUCCUCUAUGAGAUCCUGCUGGGGAAGGCCACCCUAUAUGCCUUGCUGGUCAGCGUCCUCGUGGUGAUGGCCAAGAUCAAGAGAAAGGAUUCCUGAGGCCAGCUCGGAGGAGGAGUCCUGAGCUUCCAGUCGGCCAUUGCCCCAAUAUGGAUCCUCCUUUUCCCACUUAGAGCCAGUGCUUCUGAAGAGCUGUUUUCAUCCCUCUGCUCACCCCAGUAGCUACCCCUUAUGUGCAUGCACACGCGGUCGCUCACGACUCAACUUGCCCUAAGCCGGGGGGCCUCGCGUGACGAAAUUGACUGAAUCAAUAAAAAUGGCCUGUUCUGGCUUGACUCUGC